GGGUCAGUAGGUUGGUCGUGCCACCGGUACGUACUGGUCUCACUGAUUCCUCCUUCCUGAAGAACCGUAAUGCCAUUAAUUUGGUGUUGCGGGGAAACAGGACUGUUACUUUGAAAAAAUUAGAGUGUUUAAAGCAGGCUAACGCUUGAAUACAUUAGCAUGGAAUAAUGAAAUAGGACGAUCGAUCCUAUUUUGUUGGUCUCUAGGAUUGACGUA
rnacentral:rRNA from 1 species